GACGAACGCUGGCGGCGUGCUUAACACAUGCAAGUCGAACGGAAAGGCCCUGCUUUUGUGGGGUGCUCGAUUGGCGAACGGGUGAGUAACACGUGAGUAACCUGCCCUUGACUUUGGGAUAACUUCAGGAAACUGGGGCUAAUACCGGAUAGGAGCUCCUGCUGCAUGGUGGGGGUUGGAAAGUUUCGGCGGUUGGGGAUGGACUCGCGGCUUAUCAGCUUGUUGGUGGGGUAGUGUCUUACCAAGGCUUUGACGGGUAGCCGGCCUGAGAGGGUGACCGGCGACAUUGGGACUGAGAUACGGAGCAGACUCCAACGGGAGGCAGUAGUCGGGAAUAUUGCACAAUGGGCGGAAGUCUGAUGCAGAAACGCCGCGUGCGGGAUGACGGCCUUCGGGUUGUAAACCGCUUUCGCCUGUGACGAAGCGUGAGUGACGGUAAUGGGUAAAGAAGCACCGGCUAACUACGUG
rnacentral:rRNA from 1 species